rnacentral:rRNA from 1 species
CCGGAUACGCCCUUUUGGGGAAAGGUUUACUGCCGAAGGAUCGGCCCGCGUCUGAUUAGCUAGUUGGUGGGGUAACGGCCUACCAAGGCGACGAUCAGUAGCUGGUCUGAGAGGAUGAUCAGCCACACUGGGACUGAGACACGGCCCAGACUCCUACGGGAGGCAGCAGUGGGGAAUAUUGGACAAUGGGCGCAAGCCUGAUCCAGCCAUGCCGCGUGAGUGAUGAAGGCCUUAGGGUUGUAAAGCUCUUUUGUCCGGGACGAUAAUGACGGUACCGGAAGAAUAAGCCCCGGCUAACUUCGUGCCAGCCGCCGCCGUAAUAC